rnacentral:rRNA from 1 species
GUGUCAGCAGCCGCGGUAAUACGUAGGUGGCAAGCGUUGUCCGGAUUUACUGGGCGUAAAGAGCGCGCAGGCGGUCGGAUAAGUCGAAUGUGAAAGCCCCCGGCUCAACUGGGGAGGGUCGUUCGAUACUGUCCGACUAGAAGGCAGGAGAGGGAAGCGGAAUUCCCGGUGUAGUGGUGAAAUGCGUAGAUAUCGGGAGGAACACCAGUGGCGAAGGCGGCUUUCUGGCCUGCUCUUGACGCUGAGGCGCGAAAGCUAGGGGAGCAAACGGGAUUAGAUACCCCGGUAGUCCUAGCCGUAAACGAUGGACACUAGGUGUUGGUGGUAUCAACCCCGCCAGUGCCGAAGCUAACGCAUUAAGUGUCCCGCCUGGGGAGUACGGCCGCAAGGCUAAA